AUGAACUCGUCGGCGGUCACCUGCUGCUACUGGCCCCCACCACCCCACGCUCCCGGCGGCAAGGCAUCACCCUCUCCACGCCUCAACAACAAGAGCAGCACAAGAAUCGGACGAAGGUAUGUAUCCCCAUCCCCAUCUCCGACUAGAGUACGUACAUCUGACGGUGGAUGGUCGCCGCCUGUAUGUCAAUCCCGGGACGAAUCCAGGGACCUGGUGCUCAGGAGCAGCGAGCUCGCCACGCUCGCCGCCAUCUUCCACUUCAGUGGCACCAAGCCGAGCUACCUUGGCGUGCAGAAGAGGCCCCCCUCCCUCGCCUUGUGCCCGGCGACCAACAACUGCGUGUCCACCUCCGAGAGGAUAAGCGAUUCCAAUCACUACGCUCCCCCAUGGAAUUACAAUCCCAAGGAUGGCCCCAGGGGUAAACCCAUAAGCAAAGAUGAGGCCAUGAAAGAGCUCAUUGAAGUUGUGACCAAGACAAAGCCGGACAACUUCAGUCCUCGUGUGGUAGAGAAAGGAGACGACUAUGUUCGAGUUGAAUACGAGAGCCCUAUAUUCGGGUUUGUAGACGACGUCGAGUUCUGGUUCCCUCCUGGCAACAAAUCAAUCGUUCAGUACCGAUCGGCGUCUCGGUCAGGAUUCAUCGACUUUAAUGCUAACAAGAAGAGAGUAAAGGCACUGAGAUUGGCACUGGAAAAGAAGGGCUGGGCUUCAGAAAGCACCUUCUGA
rnacentral:rRNA from 1 species